rnacentral:tRNA from 1 species
GCAGUCGUGGCCGAGUGGUUAAGGCGGUGGACUAGAAAUCCAUUGGGGUCUCCCCGCACAGGUUCGAAUCCUGUCAACUGCG